rnacentral:rRNA from 1 species
UGAGUGCGAGCUUCUACGGAAGCGAAGUUGGUGACGUCAAGCUUCCAAGAAAAGCCCUAUACCCGUUAAGGCAUGAUUACCUGUACCCGAAACCGACACAGGUGGGGUGGUAGAGAAUACCGAGGGGCGCGAGGUAACUCUCUCUAAGGAACUCGGCAAAAUGACCCCGUAACUUCGGGAGAAGGGGUGCCAGCGCGAGCUGGUCGCAGUGAAUAGGCCCAGGCGACUGUUUACCAAAAACACAGGUCUCCGCUAAGUCGCAAGACGAUGUAUGGGGGCUGACGCCUGCCCAGUGCCGGAAGGUUAAAGAAGUUGGUCAGCGCAAGCGAAGCUAACGACUGAAGCCCCGGUGAACGGCGGCCGUAACGAUAACGGUCCUAAGGUAGCGAAAUUCCUUGUCGGGUAAGUUCCGACCCGCACGAAAGGCGUAACGAUCUGGGCGCUGUCUCGGAGAGAGGCUCGGCGAAAUAGAAUUGUCUGUGAAGAUGCGGACUACGUGCACCCGGACAGAAAGACCCUAUGAAGCUUUACUGUAGCUUGGUAUUGUGCUCGGGCUCGCAAUGCGCAGGAUAGGUGGGAGGCUUUGAUCCAUUGCUUGUGGGUGAUGGUGAGCCACUGGUGAGAUACCACUCUUUGCGAGCUAGGGUUCUAACGGUUACCCGUCAUCCGGGAACCGGACAGUAUCUGGUGGGCAGUUUGACUGGGGCGGUCGCCUCCUAAAAGGUAACGGAGGCGCGCAAAGGUUUGCUCAGGCUGGUUGGAAAUCAGCCGACGAGUGUAAAAGCAGAAGCAAGCUUGACUGUGAGACCUACAAGUCGAACAGGGAGGAAACUCGGCUUUAGUGAUCCGACGGUUCUGAGUGGAAGGGCCGUCGCUCAACGGAUAAAAGUUACUCUAAGGAUAACAGGCUGAUCUCCCCCUAGAGUUCACAUCGACGGGGAGGUUUGGCACCUCGAUGUCGGCUCAUCGCAACCUGGGGCUGAAGUCGGUCCCAAGGGUUGGGCUGUUCGCCCAUUAAAGCGGUACGCGAGCUGGGUUCAGAACGUCGUGAGACAGUUCGGUCCAUAUCCGGUGCAUGCGCAGGAAUAUUGAGAGGAUUUCUCCCUAGUACGAGAGGACCGGGAGGAACGCACCUCUGGUGUACCAGUUAUCGUGCCAACGGUAAACGCUGGGUAGCCAUGUGCGGAGUGGAUAACCGCUGAAAGCAUCUAAGUGGGAAGCCCACCUCAAGAUGAGUAUUCCCAUGGCUUAAGCCAGUAAGGUCACGGGAAGAACACCCGUUGAUAGGCUCUAUGUGGAAGCGCAGUAAUGCGUGAAGCAGAGGAGUACUAAUAGACCGAGGGCUUG